CCUACGGGUGGCUGCAGUGGGGAAUAUUGCACAAUGGGCGCAAGCCUGAUGCAGCCAUGCCGCGUGUGUGAAGAAGGCCUUCGGGUUAUAAAGCACUUUCAGCGGGGAGGAAGGCGGUGAGGUUAAUAACCUCAUCGAUUGACGUUACCCGCAGAAGAAGCACCGGCUAACUCCGUGCCAGCAGCCGCGGUAAUACGGAGGGUGCAAGCGUUAAUCGGAAUUACUGGGCGUAAAGCGCACGCAGGCGGUCUGUCAAGUCGGAUGUGAAAUCCCCGGGCUCAACCUGGGAACUGCAUUCGAAACUGGCAGGCUAGAGUCUUGUAGAGGGGGGUAGAACUCCAGGUGUAGCGGUGAAAUGCGUAGAGAUCUGGAGGAAUACCGGUGGCGAAGGCGGCCCCCUGGACAAAGACUGACGCUCAGGUGCGAAAGCGUGGGGAGCAAACAGGAUUAGAUACCCCAGUAGUC
rnacentral:rRNA from 1 species